rnacentral:lncRNA from 1 species
GGACCUCUUUUUUUUUUUUUUUUUUUUUUUUAAUGUGAACUAGGAAAGCUUCCAUCUUCCUUUAUUAACUUGGAAUUGGGUCAUGUGUUACUUCAGCUAACAGGAUCCCUGGUGGAAACCUCGUUGGAAGAGUAGUUAUGAGAUCCGCUAGGAAGGCGUGUGUCCGUGGCCUGCUAAUUGAAAGGCUUGCCAUUGAAGUAAUCAGCCGGCACACGCCCCUGCCACGUGCAUUCCAACGGAAUGGAGGCCUUUCAUCCCUCUUCCCUAAUUUUUUUUUUAAUUGCGAAUUCUUGGUUCCCUUCGCUUGAAAUCCCCAAGCUACACAAGACGUAACUUAGAAAUAACUUGGUUUUCUUAGAAAAUGAAGAAAACCAUCAGGAAACAGAGCCACAAGUCUCUCCCUUUUGCCUCUCCUUUUCUUUGUUCCCUCCCUUUCACUUCCUCCCCCACACACUGGCCUCCAGCUCACAGCAGAGUCUCUUACCUCAGCCUCCUGGGUGCUGGGAUUACAGGCCUAAGCCACUACAUCCAAGUUCGAAUAUCAGAUUUCUUCCAGCAUAAUGUUGGCUCUCUCAAGGAUUCUUUUCCCUCUCUCCCAUUGUGGAUGACAUCAUGGAAAGAGUGUGUCAGAGCUAGCCAGACAGGAAGCCUGAGAGACAGGCCCAGGCAUGUACCUUUAUAAAAACACUCUCUUGAGAGCCCAACCGGGGUAUCACAGGAGCCCACAUACAUUCCUUCCCGAGUGCUACAUCCCCCAACCCCAGAGGCAAGGUUCUACCUCCUGUAGACAUGGCCACAUCUUAAAAUCACCAUGCUAAGGACUAAACCCCCAACAUGUGAAUGCUUAAGGAACAAACAGAAUCCAAACUCCAAGAGACUGAGGUGGUUUAUUAAGCUAAACAGUUUAGAUAGGUCAGUAUGUCUUAUGUCUAUAACCACAGCCCUUGCAAGGCUGAGGCAGGAGAAUGGCUACACCUCUAAAGCCAGCCUGGUCUAUAUAGCAAGUAUCAGGCUAGCUGGAUCUAUAACUCUGUCUUUUAAAAUAAUAAUAAUAAUAAUAAUAAUAAUAAUAAUAAUAAUAAUAAUAAUAAUAAAAACAUGCUAAGUAUAAAGUCAAAAUACAUAGCCCCACCAAAGAGGUUUAGCAGGAAAAAAACAGUAUUUUUUUUCUAUUUCUUUUCUUUUUUCUUUUCUCUUUCUAUGAUGACCUAGAUACAUGGCGAUUGAAAAUUUGCAAAAAAAAAAAAAAAAAAGGAAAGGAAUCCAGCCUGAUAUUUCAUAACUUGCACUGCCUACAACCACCCUAUCUGUAACCGGGGAUGGAUAACAAACCACAGCUCCAAUUUGUCUAAAUCUACAUGGUAUCCACAAGCUGUACCCAGGUGGGGCGUCAGCGAUGCCUGCCGGGGUUGGUGACCUCUAUCACCGAUGUUUCCAAGAAGUUCAGGCUGCUUGCCUAAAACAUGGAAUAAAGGCUCAGAGGAGUCUGGAGUCACAUCCAGGACUAUAGGACUCUAAAGGCAUUUUAGAAAGCUCCUCUCAGAGCAGAGAGAAGCAAGAACCUGCCAGCUGCUGUUUUCACAGCGCCGCUGGCCUCAGAGCACAGUUCAAGGGUUGGACAGGGUGUGGUCAUCUAGAGAGGCACGUGCUGAACCUUGAGCAGGCAAAGUGACAAGCCAUGCAGCCCGUGAGACUGCAGGAUGAGAGCGGGGAUCAGGGCACAGGACCUGUGUCACUCACUAGCCUUGGUCCCCACAGAGGGGUGAUGCCAGGCUGGUUCACCCAUGUCUGAUUAACAACAGAACGGGGGCUCUUCGGUGGAAUCCUACUUUCUGACCCACUUUUCUUCUUUCCCACAAGCUCACUCUCUCUCCCCU